rnacentral:rRNA from 1 species
AUUGAACGCUGGUGGCAGGCCUAACACAUGCAAGUCGAGCGGGGUUUUCGGACCUAGCGGCGGACGGGUGAGUAAUGCGUAGGGAGCUACCCGAUAGAGGGGGAUACCAGUUGGAAACGACUGUUAAUACCGCAUAAUGUCUACGGACCAAAGUGUGGGACCUUCGGGCCACAUGCUAUCGGAUGUGCCUACGUGGGAUUAGCUAGUUGGUGAGGUAAUGGCUCACCAAGGCGACGAUCCCUAGCUGGUUUGAGAGGAUGAUCAGCCACACUGGAACUGAGACACGGUCCAGACUCCUACGGGAGGCAGCAGUGGGGAAUAUUGGACAAUGGGCGCAAGCCUGAUCCAGCCAUGCCGCGUGUGUGAAGAAGGCCUUCGGGUUGAAAAGCACUUUCAGUAAGGAGGAAGCGUUGAGUGUUAAUAGUACUCAGCGUUGACGUUACUUACAGAAGAAGCACCGGCUAACUCUGUGCCAGCCGCCGCAGUAACAC